AACGAACGCUGGCGGCAUGCCUAACACAUGCAAGUCGAACGAAGCCUUCGGGCUUAGUGGCGCACGGGUGCGUAACACGUGGGAAUCUGCCCUUCGGUUCGGAAUAACAGUUAGAAAUGACUGCUAAUACCGGAUGAUGACGUAAGUCCAAAGAUUUAUCGCCGAAGGAUGAGCCCGCGUAGGAUUAGGUAGUUGGUAGGGUAAUGGCCUACCAAGCCGACGAUCCUUAGCUGGUCUGAGAGGAUGAUCAGCCACACUGGGACUGAGACACGGCCCAGACUCCUACGGGAGGCAGCAGUGGGGAAUAUUGGACAAUGGGCGCAAGCCUGAUCCAGCCAUGCCGCGUGAGUGAAGAAGGCCUUCGGGUUGUAAAGCUCUUUCAGCCGGAAAGAAAACGCACGGGUUAAUAACCUGUGUGGAUGACGGUACCGGAAGAAGAAGCACCGGCUAACUACGUG
rnacentral:rRNA from 1 species